AUUGAACGCUGGCGGAAUGCUUUACACAUGCAAGUCGAACGGCAGCACGGACUUCGGUCUGGUGGCGAGUGGCGAACGGGUGAGUAAUGUAUCGGAACGUGCCCAGUCGUGGGGGAUAACGUAGUGAAAGUUACGCUAAUACCGCAUACGAUCUAUGGAUGAAAGCGGGGGAUCGCAAGACCUCGCGCGAUUGGAGCGGCCGAUAUCAGAUUAGGUAGUUGGUGGGGUAAAGGCCCACCAAGCAAACGAUCUGUAGCUGGUCUGAGAGGACGACCAGCCACACUGGAACUGAGACACGGUCCAGACUCCUACGGGAGGCAGCAGUGGGGAAUUUUGGACAAUGGGCGAAAGCCUGAUCCAGCCAUUCCGCGUGCAGGAUGAAGGCCCUCGGGUUGUAAACUGCUUUGUACAGAACGAAAAGGUUUCUACUAAUACUAGGAGCUCAUGACGGUACUGUAAGAAUAAGCACCGGCUAACUACGUGCCAGCCGCCGCGGUAA
rnacentral:rRNA from 1 species